UACGGGGGGGGGCAAGCGUUGUUCGGAAUUACUGGGCGUAAAGGGCUCGUAGGCGGCCAACUAAGUCCGACGUGAAAUCCCCAGGCUUAACCUGGGAACUGCGUCGGAUACUGGCGGGCUUGAAUCCGGGAGAGGGAUGCGGAAUUCCAGGUGUAGCGGUGAAAUGCGUAGAUAUCUGGAGGAACACCGGUGGCGGAAGG
rnacentral:rRNA from 1 species